CCUACGGGAGGCAGCAGUGAGGAAUAUUGGUCAAUGGCCGCAGGGCUGAACCAGCCAAGUCGCGUGAGGGAUGACGGUCCUAUGGAUUGUAAACCUCUUUUGUCAGGGAGCAAAGGGCGCCACGUGUGGCGUUUCGCGAGUACCUGAAGAAAAAGCAUCGGCUAACUCCGUGCCAGCAGCCGCGGUAAUACGGAGGAUGCGAGCGUUAUCCGGAUUUAUUGGGUUUAAAGGGUGCGCAGGCGGAAUGUCAAGUCAGCGGUAAAAUCUCGGGGCUCAACCCCGUCGUGCCGUUGAAACUGGCGUUCUUGAGUGAGCGAGAAGUAUGCGGAAUGCGUGGUGUAGCGGUGAAAUGCAUCGAUAUCACGCAGAACUCCGAUUGCGAAGGCAGCAUACCGGCGCUCAACUGACGCUCAUGCACGAAAGCGUGGGUAUCGAACAGGAUUAGAUACCCCGGUAGUC
rnacentral:rRNA from 1 species